GACGAACGCUGGCGGCGUGCCUAACACAUGCAAGUCGAACGGAAAGGCCCUGCUUUUGUGGCGCGCUCGAUUGCCGCACGGGUGAGUAACACGCGAGUAACCUGUCCUUGUCUUUGGGAUAACUCCAGGAAACUCGGGCUAUUAUCGCAUAUGAGCUCCUGCUGCACGUUGGUGGUUGGUAAGUUUCGGCCGUUGGGUAUGGACUCGCGGGUUAUGAGCUUGUUUGUGGGGUAGGGGCUUACCAAGGCUUUGACGGGUAGCCGGCAUGAGAGGGGUACCGGCCACAAUACGACUGAGGGACGGAGCAGACGCCUACGGGAGGCAGCAGUGGGGAACAUUGCGCAGUAAGCCGAAGCCAGAUGCAGCAGCGCCCCGUGCGUGAUGACGGCCUACGGGUUAUAAACCGCUUUCGCCUGUAACAAGGCGUGAGUGACGGUAAUGAGUAAAAAAGCACCGGCUAACUACGUG
rnacentral:rRNA from 1 species